AAAUCCAUGCAUCUAACAUUUCCAUGUCAAAUCCCUGAAUCUUUCUCAUUCCUCAUAUAAGCAUUCAUCUUCCAAUUGCUUAAAGAAAGUGAGGUCAUUUCGAAAUUU